GAUGAACGCUGGCGGCGUGCCUAAUACAUGCAAGUCGAGCAAACGGACGAGAAGCUUGCUUCUCUGAUGUUAGCGGCGGACGGGUGAGUAACACGUGGAUAACCUACCUAUAAGACUGGGAUAACUUCGGGAAACCGUAGCUAAUACCGGAUAAUAUUUUGAACCGCAUGGUUCAAAAGUGAAAGACGGUCUUGCUGUCACUUAUAGAUGGAUCCGCGCCGCAUUAGCUAGUUGGUAAGGUAACGGCUUACCAAGGCAACGAUGCAUAGCCGACCUGAGAGGGUGAUCGGCCACACUGGAACUGAGACACGGUCCAGACUCCUACGGGAGGCAGCAGUAGGGAAUCUUCCGCAAAGGGCGAAAGCCUGACGGAGCAACGCCGCGUGAGUGAUGAAGGUCUUCGGAUCGUAAAACUCUGUUAUUAGGGAAGAGCAUAUGUGUAAGUAACUGUGCACAUCUUGACGGUACCUAAUCAGAAAGCCACGGCUAACUACGUG
rnacentral:rRNA from 1 species